rnacentral:lncRNA from 1 species
CUCAGAUUCAUUGUUAGCAGAGACUGCUGUUAUGACUUGUUCUGGUUGAUUUUUAAGUUGGCUUCAAUUGAGUCCUAUAUAGCCUGAAAGAGAAAGUGAAAAUGCAUCUUGUACACAUGUGACAUCACAGAUUGUCAGAGCAUGGAAGCUAACGGAGUAUGAAAAUGAGCUGCAUUAAGAUCACUCAUGCAAUUUCUUUCAGUGCUAGUUCUUCUGAACACAGUUGCAGCUGUGCAGAAUGAUGACAUGCAGUUCCCUGGUGAAAAUAGAUCAGAUUUUGGCUCUGAGAUAUUCAAUCAAUAUAUUCAAUAGAAAAAAGAUGCAAGUCCCAGCUAUAUCCUACAAUCAGCUUCAUGCUCAGCUGAGAGCUUCAUUGAAUGGUUUGUUGGGUUCAGUUAUUUCAGAAUGCUGUAGUACUCAUGAACUAGCAGCUAAAACAACACAGGCAAUGGUAAAUAUGUUUCCUCUCCACAUGAAUGGUAAGCAGCAUGGUUACCAUGCCAAUUACAGUGUUUGGAGUUUUAAUGCAUAUUUUUCAUUGGUGCUAUGAUGAAAGGCU